CAGUCGCCGCGGUAAUACGGAGGGUGCAAGCGUUAAUCGGAAUUACUGGGCGUAAAGCGCACGCAGGCGGUCUGACAAGUCAGAUGUGAAAUCCCCGGGCUUAACCUGGGAACUGCAUUUGAAACUGUCAGGCUGGAGUCUUGUAGAGGGGGGUGGAAUUCCAGGUGUAGCGGUGAAAUGCGUAGAGAUCUGGAGGAAUACCGGUGGCGAAGGCGGCCCCCUGGACAAAGACUGACGCUCAGGUGCGAAAGCGUGGGGAGCAAACAGGAUUAGAUACCCCCGUAGUCCUGUCUCUUUACAC
rnacentral:rRNA from 1 species